GACGAACGCUGGCGGCGUGCCUAAUACAUGCAAGUAGAACGCACAGUUUAUACCGUAGCUUGCUACACCAUAGACUGUGAGUUGCGAACGGGUGAGUAACGCGUAGGUAACCUGCCUGGUAGCGGGGGAUAACUAUUGGAAACGAUAGCUAAUACCGCAUAAUAUUGAUUAUUGCAUGAUAAUUGAUUGAAAGAUGCUAUCGCAUCACUACCAGAUGGACCUGCGUUGUAUUAGCUAGUAGGUGAGGUAACGGCUCACCUAGGCGACGAUACAUAGCCGACCUGGGAGGGUGGUCGGCCAAACUGGGACUGGGAAACGGCCCAAACUCCUAAGGGGAGCAGCAGUAGGGGAUCAUCGGCAAUGGACGGAAGUCUGAACGAGCAACGCCGCGGGAGUGAAGAAAGGUUUCGGGUCGUAAAGCUCUGUUGUGAGGGAAGGACGGGUGUGAGAGUGGAAAGUUCACGCUGUGACGGUAUCUUACCAGAAAGGAACGGCUAACUACGUG
rnacentral:rRNA from 1 species